AUACGAAGGGUGCAAGCGUUACUCGGAAUUACUGGGCGUAAAGCGUGCGUAGGUGGUUGUUUAAGUCUGUUGUGAAAGCCCUGGGCUCAACCUGGGAACUGCAGUGGAAACUGGACGACUAGAGUGUGGUAGAGGGUAGCGGAAUUCCUGGUGUAGCAGUGAAAUGCGUAGAGAUCAGGAGGAACAUCCAUGGCGAAGGCAGCUACCUGGACCAACACUGACACUGAGGCACGAAAGCGUGGGGAGCAAACAGGAUUAGAUACCCUGGUAGUCCACGCCCUAAACGAUGCGAACUGGAUGUUGGGUGCAAUUUGGCACGCAGUAUCGAAGCUAACGCGUUAAGUUCGCCGCCUGGGGAGUACGGUCGCAAGACUGAA
rnacentral:rRNA from 1 species